UCAACUCAGCCCCUCAUGGGGCAGACUGAAGGGCCUCCCCAGCAUGCAGUUCCUCAAAAAUUGCAGUGCAGUCCCAUCACUUAUCGCCGGUGGGCUUGUUUAUGUCCCUUUCCCCCUUCAAAUCUAGUUUAAAGCCCUGUCAGUCAGCCCUGCUAACUCCUGGGCAAAAAUCCUUUCCCCCCUCAUAGAAAGGUGCUCCCCACCAGGAGUCAGUAGGCUCAGUGUCAUGUAGACCUUCCCAUGAUCAAGAAACCUAAAACUGUGUCGGCAUGCCCUGUUUU